rnacentral:rRNA from 1 species
GAGUUUGAUCAUGGCUCAGAUUGAACGCUGGCGGCAGGCCUAACACAUGCAAGUCGAAUGGCAGCACGGGAGCUUGCUCCUGGUGGCGAGUGGCGAACGGGUGAGUAAUGCAUCGGAACGUAUCCUGGAGUGGGGGAUAACGUAGCGAAAGUUACGCUAAUACCGCAUAUUCUGUGAGCAGGAAAGCGGGGGACCUUCGGGCCUCGCGCUCUUGGAGCGGCCGAUGUCGGAUUAGCUAGUUGGUGAGGUAAAGGCUCACCAAGGCGACGAUCCGUAGCAGGUCUGAGAGGAUGAUCUGCCACACUGGAACUGAGACACGGUCCAGACUCCUACGGAGGCAGCAGUGGGAAUUUUGGACAAUGGGGGCAACCCUGAUCCAGCCAUGCCGCGUGAGUGAAGAAGGCCUC